GCGAGCCCUGGGCGGCCGGCGCACGCGCGGUGCGGCGGCGCGAGCCCUGGGCGGCCGGCGCACGCGCGGUGCGGCGGCGCGAGCCCUGGGCGGCCGGCGCACGCGCGGUGCGGCGGCGCGAGCCCUGGGCGGCCGGCGCACGCGCGGUGCGGCGGCGGGCAAGAUGGCGGCGAGCAGGGCGGGUGUUUUGGCUGGACGGCGGCGGGCGAGGGCAGAGGCGGGCUGGAGUCGAGCAUGUGGGGGCCGCGGUGAGGCGAGGGUAGCCCACCGAAGGGGGACAUCUCGAAGAGAAGCAGCAAGACCUGGGGAUCCGGUGGUUCAUUUUGGUCGUCGCCUGUGAGGCCAGCAUGCAAGAGUAAGAGGAAGCUAGGAGCAGUCUCAAAAAGAUAUGGAACCGAGGACAGCAAAUGCUGACGAGGAGAAGAGACGGACGAGCGUUUGCUUGCGGUUAAUACCGAAGGGACGGGAUGAAACAAGGAAGCCAGAAUGCAGCGGCCCCUCGAUAUCACCAGGAACUGCUACAGGAGGAGGCGUUCUGGCACGGGUAACUAGGGUAAGUAUCGCUGAUGACCGUUAGCAGUUAUUUCGGCCUCCCCGAGGCAGCGCUGAGGACUGAGUAACCCGUUCCUACCCUGUGGCUGCUGUUGCCUGUAUCUGCCUUAGCUUUGCUUUGGCUGUUUCUGUUUUGUUUUGUUAUCGUACGCACAGCUACGGAAAGGAAUAGAUGUCAUACUUACUUUUUUAGAUUAAUUGCCACGGCUGAAGUUGAAGAGACCAAGAAACGUAAGCCCCGAAGGGGCACAUCUUGAAGAGAGGGGGCUAGGCCUAGCGAUCCAGUUGUUCGUUUUGGUCGUCGCCUGUGAGGCCAGCAUGCAAGAGUAAGAGGAAGCUAGGAGCAGUCUCAAAAAGAGAUGGAACCAAGGACAGCAAAUGCUGACGAGGAGAAGAGACGGACGAGCGUUUGCUUGCGGUUAAUACCGAAGGGACGGGAUGAAACAAGGAAGCCAGAAUGCAGCGGCCCCUCGAUAUCACCAGGAACUGCUACAGGAGGAGGCGUUCUGGCACGGGUAACUAGGGUAAGUAUCGCUGAUGACCGUUAGCAGUUAUUUCGGCCUCCCCGAGGCAGCGCUGAGGACUGAGUAACCCGUUCCUACCCUGUGGCUGCUGUUGCCUGUAUCUGCCUUAGCUUUGCUUUGGCUGUUUCUGUUUUGUUUUGUUGUCGUACACGCAGCUACGGAAAGGAAUAGAUGUCAUACUUACUUUUUUAGAUUAAUUGCCACGGCUGAAGUUGAAGAGACCAAGAAACGUAAGCCCCGAAGGGGCACAUCUUGAAGAGAGGGGGCUAGACCUAGCGAUCCAGUUGUUCGUUUUGGUCGUCGCCUGUGAGGCCAGCAUGCAAGAGUAAGAGGAAGCUAGGAGCAGUCUCAAAAAGGUAAUAGGUUUGAAAGGGAGACAGGCAAAUCGAGGGCUGUCAUUCCUCCACGUAGUUAAAGACCGAGAGAGUUGUCGGUUAAGCGCAUGCAUACGAGGGUUUGCGAACAGUACCAAUAACACUGAAGCGGAAUAAAAAUAAGGUUUCGUGGAAGAUGGCGUUAGGAAGGUAUUAGGCGACGUGCCCGCCUGCCUAAUAACCUAGCCCUAAUUGCUGUGUGUAACGUUUCCAGACCGUUUACCCUGCAACGUAUGGUGCAAAGUGCCGUAUUAAGACCUUUCCCUUAAGGAAAAGAAGAAGGAAAAAAGAAAAAAAAGGGGGAAAAAGAAAACAGGGUAAAGAGAAAAAGAUCAUGCAUAAACCUAAGCGUUUCACUGGAAGUAAAACGCGAGUUUAUCGCUUCCUUACAGAGAUGGAACCAAGGACAGCAAAUGCUGACGAGGAGAAGAGACGGACGAGCGUUUGCUUGCGGUUAAUACCGAAGGGACGGGAUGAAACAAGGAAGCCAGAAUGCAGCGGCCCCUCGAUAUCACCAGGAACUGCUACAGGAGGAGGCGUUCUGGCACGGGUAACUAGGGUAAGUAUCGCUGAUGACCGUUAGCAGUUAUUUCGGCCUCCCCGAGGCAGCGCUGAGGACUGAGUAACCCGUUCCUACCCUGUGGCUGCUGUUGCCUGUAUCUGCCUUAGCUUUGCUUUGGCUGUUUCUGUUUUGUUUUGUUGUCGUACACGCAGCUACGGAAAGGAAUAGAUGUCAUACUUACUUUUUUAGAUUAAUUGCCACGGCUGAAGUUGAAGAGACCAAGAAACGUAAGCCCCGAAGGGGCACAUCUUGAAGAGAGGGGGCUAGACCUAGCGAUCCAGUUGUUCGUUUUGGUCGUCGCCUGUGAGGCCAGCAUGCAAGAGUAAGAGGAAGCUAGGAGCAGUCUCAAAAAGGUAAUAGGUUUGAAAGGGAGACAGGCAAAUCGAGGGCUGUCAUUCCUCCACGUAGUUAAAGACCGAGAGAGUUGUCGGUUAAGCGCAUGCAUACGAGGGUUUGCGAACAGUACCAAUAACACUGAAGCGGAAUAAAAAUAAGGUUUCGUGGAAGAUGGCGUUAGGAAGGUAUUAGGCGACGUGCCCGCCUGCCUAAUAACCUAGCCCUAAUUGCUGUGUGUAACGUUUCCAGACCGUUUACCCUGCAACGUAUGGUGCAAAGUGCCGUAUUAAGACCUUUCCCUUAAGGAAAAGAAGAAGGAAAAAAGAAAAAAAAGGGGGAAAAAGAAAACAGGGUAAAGAGAAAAAGAUCAUGCAUAAACCUAAGCGUUUCACUGGAAGUAAAACGCGAGUUUAUCGCUUCCUUACAGAGAUGGAACCAAGGACAGCAAAUGCUGACGAGGAGAAGAGACGGACGAGCGUUUGCUUGCGGUUAAUACCGAAGGGACGGGAUGAAACAAGGAAGCCAGAAUGCAGCGGCCCCUCGAUAUCACCAGGAACUGCUACAGGAGGAGGCGUUCUGGCACGGGUAACUAGGGUAAGUAUCGCUAAUGACCGUUAGCAGUUAUUUCGGCCUCCCCGAGGCAGCGCUGAGGACUAAGUAACCUGAGGGGCUCUGGCCUGGGUUAGGGCAGAAGUGCAGGCAGGCGGGAUCAGGCAUUUUCCUCUCAGCUCUCCAAGCUGAAUCCUAGCCCUGAAGGAAAAAGCACUGGGGGGAGGCUACUCGGACACCUGCCACGUCGAGGGCAGGGGCAGGAGCUGACCCUUCCCCGACGGACGGACGGACAGACAGACGCUGGUGCGGCGGUGACUCUUUGGAUAUCGUAGGUAAGGGGAGGCACGCUGGUGCCGAGCUCCAGGGCGGUUUGCCUGAACACGAUGCCCGGGGCAGGAGGUUACGCAUUGUGUCCGGGGCUGGGAGCUGGUCCCCGAGUCCCAUGUACUUGGGAGUGCCUGCGCUUGCCAGGGAGCCCGGUGCUGUUCCCAGAGCUGCGGGGAAUUUCCCUUGCGUUGCCUGGACCCUCGGGGCUCUUGGGGGUGUUUCCCCUCAUCGCAAGGGCAGCCAGAGCCCCUCCAGGGCUGCGUGAGGUCCCCGAACCGCUCCCGGAUUUGCUUUUGGCACUCCGCAGUGUCGCUCGUGUGCCUGGGGCAGCCUGCAGGCGCCAUCCUGUCAGCCGCGUUGAGCCCUGCGGCGUGCCUGGUGACCCCUCUGGUGUGCGCCAAGGCCCUUCCUCUGUAUUUUGGUCUGCCCCAGAGCCCUGCACUUGCCCUCUGAUGCCCUCAGGACCCCUCAGUUCACAUUCUGGGUUGCCCCCGAGCCCUCUGCGUGCCUUUCGGUGCGCCCCGUGGCCCCGUGUGUGUUUUGCGGCAUGCCGCAGAGGUCUCUGUUUAGCUUUUUCUCCUGUCCUGGAGUUUUCUGGGUGCUUCUGGGUGUGCCCCAGGGCCCUCCUUUUGGUGCCCCCAGAGUCACUCUGUUUGCUCUAUCGUUCUUUUUUUUUUUUUUUUUUUUUUUUUUUUUUUUUUUUUCUUGACUUGUGUUGCACCCAGAGCUCUCGAUUUGUUCUCUUGUGCUCCGCAUACUCCCCUUUCCGCACUCUACACCCCAGGCAGGGCUCUCCCUUCAGCUCUCAGCAAGCUGCUGUCAGGAGAGUGGGGGUGCCUCUGCUGCCCUGGCAGCCCCAGCUGUCCCUGAAGGGGCUGAUGGCCAGGCCCCCUGCCCAGUUCCUGCAGGCCCACAGCUGCGGGCCCUGGGGCUGGGAUGAAUGCCAGGGGGAGCUGGGUGGCAGGACAGGCCCCAGGUGGGGCUGAUGGCAAGGGCAGGCCCACAUUUGGGGGCUGGGGCCGCAGUUGGGGGGAGCUGGCGCUGGGGCAGGAGCUGGGCAGCGGAGCUGCCGCGGAGCACGGCCCUUCGGGACCAGCCCGGCGGCCGCCCCGCGGAGGAGGUGAGCGGGGCCGGGGGAGGCGCACUGCAGGCUGCGGGUCCCGCAUGUGCCGGGGGUCCCGGCGGCUGGGAGCGUCCCGGGGCCACGGAGGCGGGGGGAGGAAGGGGGUGCGCCGGGGCUGUGGUGCGGUUUACUGC